rnacentral:rRNA from 1 species
UACGGGGGGAGCAAGCGUUGUUCGGAUUUACUGGGCGUAAAGGGCGCGUAGGCGGUCAGCACAAGUCAGUUGUGAAAUCUCCGGGCUUAACUCGGAACGGUCAACUGAUACUGUGCGACUAGAGUGCAGAAGGGGCAACUGGAAUUCUCGGUGUAGCGGUGAAAUGCGUAGAUAUCGAGAGGAACACCUGCGGCGAAGGCGGGUUGCUGGGCUGACACUGACGCUGAGGCGCGAAAGCGUGGGGAGCAAACAGG